CACAAAACAAUUCAUGCAACUCAACCUUGAAAUUCAUAUUCUAGAUAAGGGGGUUCUCCUCCCUUUUCCAUACAAGAGAUCUAAAUGAGCUAUAAGUUUUCAAUUUAACCAUUAGAUCUGAUUGUAGUGAUGAGUUCAAACUUGAUUUGCUACUAUGAGAUAUUUGGCUUAUCACCAUGAAAGCAUGUGGCUUUCUCUACAAUCAAAUGCACUUGUACUGUAUGCUAUGCACAAUGAAGUGUUCAUGUUGGGAAAAGGGCUGCAGAAUGAACAUAAAUGGAAAUGUUGGGAGAAACAACUUCAGGGAGGAGUGACUUAUAGCAAAUGGUUUCUGCUAUCAAAAAAAAUGAUGAGAGAAGGAACAAGGAAUAGUAAAUCGAAGGAUGGUUUAGGUUUCAACUUUGAUGCUCAUAAUAUGGGAUAUGGUCUUAAACACAAGUCGAAUAGGGCAUCACAAUGCCAAGGUGGUGACAAGAGCCACCAUACGGUAGAAAAAACAACUCUCAUAAGCCCCACUAUAGCACCACCACCCCUCAUGCCCCGAGUUUCAGCUGCCUUCUUUCACUCAAAUUCCAUGUAUUAUGUGAACCCAAUGACAGAAUCCCUCACUCCCGAAUUAGGCGUUUUCGCACAACAUAGGAAAACAUUUACAUAGGUACAAAAUUAACAUUUUAGUUUAUAAAAAUUAGAAACAAAGUAAAAAACAUAAAAUAAAAACAAAAUUUUAUAAUUUGAAACAAAUAGAAAGGACUAUUUAACGAAAAUCAUUCUGAAGAGAUUGGGUAGGCACUUCGCUGUUUCUUGAGUUGCAAUUCUCAUCCUCCCUUGUUUUUGUUGUAGGGUGGAAUUGGAAACCUGACACAGAGCUAUGCAAACUUUUUUCUCUAUAAACUAAAGAAAUUCCAAACCUAUAUAUACACACUUAAACUCAACUUCACAAUGCAAAAUGAAGACAAAAAAAUAUGCAAAACAAAAACAAAAAACAAAAAAUGAAAAUGAAAACACAGAAGAAAAAUAAACCAGGGGGUGUUUGAUGAAGAAGAAUUCAAAGGAACAUGACAAAGAAAAAAGCAUCCUAAGAAAGAUGAACAAAGGUUUAAAGUAGCUUCUGUUGGGGGAUUUAGGAACAAUAAUCACACACAAGCAAAUAUAAACAAUAAAAAUGGAACACUAGAUAUAACGUGAUUCGGUCCAAUUUGAUGUAUGUCCACGGAGCACACCAAUAUCACUAUAAACUGGACGAAUAAAUACAAGGAGGAGGAGCCACUGAUCAACUCAACUCUCUCUCUCUCUCACACACACAAUACUCUGGUCCUCAACACACUCUUCCACACAGCUCUGUUCUGCACACAACACAACUCCACACACACACACACACACCUCAUUUAUAGCCAUGGAUGGAGGGGUGGAAGUCAACUAAGGUGGGCAAGGAAGGUGAAGGUGGCUGGCAGUUUCUACCUACUGCAGCUCAAAAUUCAGCAUAAGUAGCUGGGUUGGCAGCUGCCUUCUCUACCAACUGCAAUCUCUAUAGCUUCUACUAUGUUCAUCACCUCAAAGACCUCUACUCAUUCACACGCCUAAUGAGAAGGGAUGCCUCAUCCUCUUGUCAUGCAAUGUCCGACACCCAACUCCUCGCAGGGAUUAUUGGACAAUCAUCGUCGUCAUCGGCAUUUGGUCGGGAAUAUUAACGGUAGGGGUACUUUGUGAUCACUUGGAGGAAGUAGAUAACUGCCUUAGAAACCUUGAUUCUCUUCCCAACACCAAGGAGUGGCAAUACAACUAUUCAAUAUUUAAAUGCUUUAAAGACAACAUUUCUAACAUGUGAUGAUAGAGAUGAUGGAAGUGAAGAUUGGAUGCAAUAAUUAAACAAACAUUUUUUAAACUAGGUAUUGUGAAUGUUAUAAUUUUUUGUGGUGUAAAUAUAGGAAGGGAAAAUCUUCAUUUAUAAGAGCUUUUUAAAAGUUGUUGGGGUUGUUAUAUAUAUAUCCUAUAUAUACUCAUUCAAUGGGAUUGAUAAAC